rnacentral:misc_RNA from 1 species
AAGUCGUAACAAGGUUUCCGUAGGUGAACCUGCGGAAGGAUCAUUCAAGUAAAUGAAUCCCCCACACUUGCCAAACUGUAACAUUAGUUGAUGGGGAAGAAUGAGAUUAAGGGGGUUUAGAGUAUAUUUAUAUAUUUUUCCCACCGGCGUUGAUUUUUUCCCCAACAACUAAACACCAAACGUUCUAUUGUAAAGAUUUGUUCCGGUUUAAAAUUAUAUAAAUUAUAUACAACCUUUAACAAUGGAUCUCUUGGUUCCU